rnacentral:lncRNA from 1 species
AAUCGAACCCGGGCAUCUAAGUCUCUCCUCCCUAGCUUGAAACCUGCAACAACUAAAACUAGAAGAAGGAACCUGGUAACUAAGAAUUUCACUGCUACAGAAGACUAAUACUCAUAGGUAUCAAUGGAACUCCUGCGCUCGCUACCUUCCCCUAUAGGCUCGAUACAUAAGUUCGAUCAGGAGCGGAAGAGACAAACACUCAAUACAGAAUGCAAAGAACAGUCCCAACACAACUCGAAUGGCAUAAUGAAACACAUAAGUCAGGAUACAUCGAUCGGAUAGGAAUAAGCGGAAAAGUCAGUGAACUUAGAAAGGGGGUUUUCUUAUCUAGGGCAGGAGAGCUGUAAUAGGGUCUCUGAUCUCGGUCAUUAUCAGACUUAUAGUAGUCAACAUGAGAAUGAAAGCAGUAAAGAUAACCUAAACUUUCCAGUGGUCAAGCAAGAAUGCAAGUUGGAGGACCCGAACUAAACUGGAAGCGAUAAAGCAAGAAUCAAACAUGGCUGACAAGGCUAUAGCCUGAUAGUCCUAAUCAAAGAAAUGAUAUAUAAUAGGUCCACUGCACUACAAGACCAUACAAGUCACUACUGGGAACCUACUAAGUCUUUUUUCACUAUAAGCUUAAGAGCCUGUGACUACUGCCAAUAAGCCUGUUCCGGCUGACUUCGAACCCUACUCUACUAGCUAUGAGACUCUGAUCUAUGCCCCAACUGUGCUGUCUUACCCACAAUCGAUGUAUUCUUUAGAUAAUGCCUAUGAUGCUUACUUGUGUUUGGGCACCUUACUACCUAUUACUACUAUACAACUAUAAUGAUAACAAGGCUAGAACCACCACAUACAAGAAAACAACUACCGGGGCGACUAAUCAUAAUUAACUGUCAGCUUCCCACGCCUUAUUACUUCCAUCAAAUGCCGAGCCUCGCCCUAAUGCUUCCUAGCCAACAAGCAACUACUAAUGACCAAGCCAGGCAAGCAACGACUAGACAAGUCACUACGGCUCUUUUGGUUUGAGUUGAAUCGAAGGGGUUGGGGUGGCCUUCUCUAACGCGCUUAAUUAUAUGUUGCUUGUUUGUAGCGGUAAGAGAAUCUUAGGUGUUGGUGGCCCACUGAGAGGUUUAAUCAAAAGCACAAAGCGCUGUGGGAGAUAGCCUUGGAAACAAAUGGUACUUGGGAGCUUGCCUGCUAGCGACUAUGGUUUUAGUCUAGAGAAGAUGUGCUUAUGGCUCCUUAGUUAAGAGUUCUAGAAAGCUGAGUGAUGAAGUAAUACCUUUUUCUUAGGAUUUCUUUCCCAUAGAGGAUUUCUUUCCCAUAUAAGCUAUUGAAGCUAUCUGUUUUGCUAUGGCUUUGGUAAGGCCGAACUCUUUCUUCUAUAUUGCUGGAGAGUUUCUUUCAAGCUCAUGAACUCAACCCGACACCUAUAGUAAAAGCACGUCCUCCCGUAACAACCCUGAUCUUAUUGCUCGCACCUUCGUUCCUCCUAACCUUACUCCGUUGCUUUAAGACUAGAAGAUAGUGCGCACCCAUUAUGUAUUAAGUAACAAAGCACUUAUUACUCCUUACUCCAAAACGGACUAUAGAGCGGCGUCGGCAAACUCACUAUUGACUUUGAAAGUAGUAGAACGCUAUUGAGUAUUUCAUCUGGAACUCGACUUGAAACAGCGGAUUCUCGAACUGCUGACUUCUUACUGAUUGACUUACCGCUUCAGAUGGAAUUGAUUCUUAUGCUUCCUUACCCGCGGAAGAGACUUAUGUAGAUCCCCGGAUCCAGCAUCUUAUUCGAAUCCUGCUCUACCGAAGUAGGGAAUCAUCUUCUUAGUGCACAUAUGCAUAUACGAUACAGAAGUACAAAGAGCUCCCGACAGAGAGUAUCAACCUUCUUAGACAAGGAGCUAAAGGAACUCCAUGAAACUACUUUGAGCUACAGCGAGCUAGAGCGGGAUAAUUAGUUCAACUACAUGAAUUAGUUCAACUACAAGGGGCUUCAGAAAGUCAUAAUCCAAAUCAGGCAAUUCCAACUGAACAGCUUCAUCUCGGAACUCAAGAUUCUGGCCAUUCUUCUCUCGUCGACAAGAAAGGUCAAAAGGCAAGAGAAAAUCGAAAGAGAAGACCCG